rnacentral:lncRNA from 1 species
CUAGCCACCAAUUCUAGCUUGAUAAGUACAAUUGACUCUUAAAAGAAGAUGUGGGAGCGACAGCGACGCAAGAUGGCAGCCACCACAGGCUAGGGAGUAAAAGUCCCUCGAAAUUUUCGACUGUUGGAAGAGCUGGAAGAAGGACAGAGGGGAGUAGGCGACGGCACAGUGAGCUGGGGUCUGGAGGACGACGAGGACAUGACACAAGGUGGACAGGCAUGAUAAUUGGACCUCCACCAACAAUCUAUGAAAACUGAAUAUACAGCCUUAAGAUAGAGUGUGGGCCUAAGUACCCAGAGGCACCUGGUCUGUAAGAUUCGUAACAAGAGUCAAUAUGAGCGGCGUGAGCAGUUCGAAUGGACUCAGGUUUCAGUGUUGCUCCUCAGACCCCCUGCAGGGACCGGGAGGAGCUCUGUGUCCCCAUGUUUGCAGAUCAUCUGCAGAUCCGUGGGCCUGGCCUCCUGGCUCACUGCCACACUCCCCACUCUGUUCAGGACCACUAAAUGUUGAAAUGUGGAUGCAUACUGAAAUAAAGGCAAUCUGUUGUGUUGCAAAAAAAAAAAAA